rnacentral:rRNA from 1 species
UACGUAGGGGGCAAGCGUUGUCCGGAUUUACUGGGCGUAAAGAGCGUGUAGGCGGCCAAGCAGGUCCGUUGUGAAAACUGGAGGCUUAACCUCCAGACGUCGACGGAAACCGCGUGGCUAGAGUCCGGAAGAGGAGAGUGGAAUUCCGUGGUGUAGCGGUGAAAUGCGCAGAUAUCAGGAAGAACACCCGUGGCGAAGGCGGCUCUCUGGGACGGUACUGACGCUGAGACGCGAAAGCGUGGGGAGCGAACAGG